AAGUCGUAACAAGGUCUCCGUAGGUGAACCUGCGGAGGGAUCAUUACUGAGCGAGCGCCUCCGGGCGCCAUCCCCGUGGACAGAAAAGACGCUCCGGUCGCGCCGCCUCACAGCGGCCGGCGGGAGUGGGUCCCGGGUGAUCUCAAACCCUUUGUGUGCCGACACCGUUGCUUCGGGGGCUACCCGAUUCCGGUCGGGCCUCCGGUGGCUCAAUCAAAACUCGUUGAAUCUUGCGUCGGAGUAAACAUAAAUUUAAACAAAA
rnacentral:misc_RNA from 1 species